AUUGAACGCUGGCGGCAGGCCUAACACAUGCAAGUCGAACGGUAACAGGAAACAGCUUGCUGUUUCGCUGACGAGUGGCGGACGGGUGAGUAAUGUCUGGGAAACUGCCUGAUGGAGGGGGAUAACUACUGGAAACGGUAGCUAAUACCGCAUAACGUCGCAAGACCAAAGAGGGGGACCCUCGGGCCUCUUGCCAUCGGAUGUGCCCAGAUGGGAUUAGCUUGUUGGUGGGGUAACGGCUCACCAAGGCGACGAUCCCUAGCUGGUCUGAGAGGAUGACCAGCCACACUGGAACUGAGACACGGUCCAGACUCCUACGGGAGGCAGCAGUGGGGAAUAUUGCACAAUGGGCGCAAGCCUGAUGCAGCCAUGCCGCGUGUAUGAAGAAGGCCUUCGGGUUGUAAAGUACUUUCAGCGGGGAGGAAGGGAGUAAAGUUAAUACCUUUGCUCAUUGACGUUACCCGCAGAAGAAGCACCGGCUAACUCCGUGCCAGCAGCCGCGGUAAUACGGAGGGUGCAAGCGUUAAUCGGAAUUACUGGGCGUAAAGCGCACGCAGGCGGUUUGUUAAGUCAGAUGUGAAAUCCCCGGGCUCAACCUGGGAACUGCAUCUGAUACUGGCAAGCUUGAGUCUCGUAGAGGGGGGGUAGAAUUCCAGGUGUAGCGGUGAAAUGCGUAGAGAUCUGGUAGAAUACCCGUGGCGAAGCGGCCCCCCUGGACAAGAAAACGCUAGGUGCAAGAACGGGAGAAAUAUCGCAUUUAAUACCCAGGUAAUUUAAGGGGAAUUCUUUUUGUAUACAGGCGGAUCGCACCGGCGUGUUGGGGUGUUGUUUUUUUACUAUCUUUUUGAGUAAGGGUGGUGUAUUUAUGGGGGGGGGGUGGGGUGUAGGACUGAUAA
rnacentral:rRNA from 1 species